rnacentral:tRNA from 1 species
GAUUCCAUGGCCCAAUGGAUAAGGUGUUGGACUAUGAAUCUAGAGAUUUUGGGUUCAAUCCCAAGUGGAGUCG